rnacentral:rRNA from 1 species
UACGGGGGGAGCAAGCGUUGUUCGGAUUUACUGGGCGUAAAGGGCGCGUAGGCGGCCAGCACAAGUCAGUUGUGAAAUCUCCGAGCUUAACUCGGAAAGGUCAACUGAUACUGUGCGGCUAGAGUGCGGAAGGGGCAACUGGAAUUCUUGGUGUAGCGGUGAAAUGCGUAGAUAUCGAGAGGAACACCUGCGGCGAAGGCGGGUUGCUGGGCUGACACUGACGCUGAAGCGCGAAAGCUAGGGGAGCGAACGGG